GAUGAACGCUGGCGGCGUGCUUAACACAUGCAAGUCGAACGAAGCACUUUAUUUGAUUUCCUUCGGGACUGAUUAUUUUGUGACUGAGUGGCGGACGGGUGAGUAACGCGUGGGUAACCUGCCUUGUACAGGGGGAUAACAGUUGGAAACGGCUGCUAAUACCGCAUAAGCGCACAGCAUCGCAUGAUGCAGUGUGAAAAACUCCGGUGGUAUAAGAUGGACCCGCGUUGGAUUAGCUAGUUGGUGAGGUAACGGCCCACCAAGGCGACGAUCCAUAGCCGACCUGAGAGGGUGACCGGCCACAUUGGGACUGAGACACGGCCCAAACUCCUACGGGAGGCAGCAGUGGGGAAUAGUGCACAAUGGGCGAAAGCCUGAUGCAGCGACGCCGCGUGAGCGAAGAAGUAUUUCGGUAUGUAAAGCUCUAUCAGCAGGGAAGAUAAUGACGGUACCUGACUAAGAAGCACCGGCUAAAUACGUG
rnacentral:rRNA from 1 species